UACGUAGGGUGCGAGCGUUAAUCGGAAUUACUGGGCGUAAAGCGUGCGCAGGCGGUUUUGUAAGCCAGGUGUGAAAUCCCCGGGCUUAACCUGGGAACUGCAUUUGGGACUGCAAGGCUUGAGUACGGCAGAGGGGGGUAGAAUUCCUGGUGUAGCAGUGAAAUGCGUAGAUAUCAGGAGGAAUACCGAUGGCGAAGGCAGCCCCCUGGAUCGAUACUGACGCUCAUGCACGAAAGCGUGGGGAGCAAACAGG
rnacentral:rRNA from 1 species